rnacentral:rRNA from 1 species
UAGGGAAUCUUCGGCAAUGGGCGAAAGCCUGACCGAGCAACGCCGCGUGAGCGAUGAAGGCCUUCGGGUCGUAAAGCUCUGUUGUUAGAGAAGAACAAGUACGAGAGUAACUGCUCGUACCUUGACGGUACCUAACCAGAAAGCCACGGCUAACUACGUGCCAGCAGCCGCGGUAAUACGUAGGUGGCAAGCGUUAUCCGGAAUUAUUGGGCGUAAAGCGCGCGCAGGCGGUCUCUUAAGUCUGAUGUGAAAGCCCACGGCUCAACCGUGGAGGGUCAUUGGAAACUGGGAGACUUGAGUGCAGGAGAGAAAAGUGGAAUUCCACGUGUAGCGGUGAAAUGCGUAGAGAUGUGGAGGAACACCAGUGGCGAAGGCGGCUUUUUGGCCUGUAACUGAUGCUGAGGCGCGAAAGCGUGGGGAGCAAACAGGAUUAGAUACCCUGGUAGUCCACGCCGUAAACGAUGAGUGCUAGGUGUUGGGGGGUUCC